UUUGCGUAUUUGAAUUUGGUUCGGUUAUUUUAUCAUCAAAUGGGUCAGGCAAUAAUAUUGAAUGCGAACUUCAGAGCAGCUGAGUUCGGUAGACUAGCCGCUAAUUGUUGUUUGGGAAUCAUGGCUAUUUUUUCUAACAUGAUGACUGAGGUUGGUAAUCAAAUUGAGGUUAAUGUUGAGGAUGUCAUGAGGGUGAUUACUACUGAUGUAAGGAUUGGUAAUGGAUUUUUGGAUCCAUAUACUGUUGUUGGGGGCCCAAAUUUAUUUAGGGAUCUUAAUGUACUUCAGUUUAUAGCCCAUCAUUACAACUUGGAUGAUCACACAAGAUUUAUUAGAUAUGCGAUUGCUGCUAAUGAAGAGAGAAUGACUUGUCAUGUUCGCAAGAUGAAGACCUCAAUGAUUUCAUUCAAGGGAAAAACUUUAGCAAUUUUUGGGAUUGCAUUCAAGGAAGGCACUAGUGAUAUUAGCUAUUCUCCUGCUGUUUCAAUGUGCAAAAAGUUGGUAAAGUAUGGUUGUAAUUUGAGAAUAUAUGAUCCUUUGGUACCUGAAGCUAUCAUUAGGGGGGUUUUCCCAAUAGUAAAUAGAGUAACUAUUAUGGGGAAAACUCAAGCUGACAUGCUUAAUACUUGUCAAGGAACUCAUGCCCUCUGUUUUUUCACUCGGAGUGCUGAAUUCCAACAGAUGGAUUGGUUUGCGGCUCGUCCCUUAAUGGCUCAGGGUACACAAGUUUUCAUGUUUGAUUUUGCGCGCAAUGCUUUUAUAGAUGCUGUUAUUGUACAAGCCGAUAUCACCAUCGGGUUUCCUCGUUUUAAUGAAUGAAAUCUGCGGUUUGGGCUGAUGCAGAUACAUGGUUCAAAUUUCAUUCAAGCAAGUGAGUGAUGAGUUGCAUAGAAGAUAUUGGCUGCAGGGAUAAAGAGGAUGACCUCAUGGCUAGAGAUGAAGCAGAGAUUUUACAAGGCCAGAGUAGCUUAUAGUUCAUUGCAAUGUAUUCUUGGAAUGUGGUGUUAGAAUACUCUUGUACCACAUAUGUUGCUGCCAGAUCUACAUUGUUAAACAUGUUCAACAACUCCUUUGAUGAUUUAUAAUACCAUUCUAGUGCUUUUUUAAAAGAAUGCAGCCAUUGUUGUUGGAGACUAGGGGUUACUCCCUUCGUCCCCAUUUGUUUGCCCCAUUGAGUGUUGGUUACUUUUUUUUAAUGUUUGGUUGGGUGGAGUUGAUCAAAGACAAAAAUUGGUGUGACUAAAUACAAUGAAUGUGAGAGUUAAGUAUAGUCCCCAUAGUCAUUUUUAGUAUGUGCACAAGCCGGUGUCCGGGAGGAAGAUGGUGGUGGUGGUGGUCUGACAGGGAGUGAAGGAAGUGGGGCUGGUGGUUUGCCAGAGAUUGAAGGGAGAAAGGGAGCCUGUUGUUUGCUAAGAUUUUUUUCAUAAUCAAUCUGUACCUGUGCAUAUGACUUCGGUGCUUUUGAAGGAAAAAAUAUAUUGAUAUCUAAGGUGGCUAGUGUAACAUUUGACUUGCUGUUGUUGCUUGACAGUAGCUAUUCAAGAUGAACGGUCACAAUACAUGAAUGUAACAGAUGAUAAGUACUGGAAAGUGCUAUAUCCCAGCAAGUGGUUUAGUGCAACAGUCUCAAUGAUAUAAGUUGUACUAUGCCUUUGCCAUAUCUUUGAUGCAGGUGUUGUUGUGGGCCACCAAUUCUUUGAUUAUAUGCGCACGACAUUGCAAUGGGGGUUUUUCGGGUUAGCGUUUCUUAAAUUUUCGGACUCUUUCUCAAAUUCGAGUGCUAAUUUUGUAGGUGGGAAAGUGAGAGAGAAACUGACGCCAUGGGCAUCACCUCAAGCUUAUCAUGUUGAGACAUGUGACCUGUGUGAUCGACUGAAAGUGUAGCCAGAGAUUGAUUGGAUGAAUUUCCAAAAAAAACAGGGACACUAUUGUUCUAUCUAUUGCCAGAUGUGGAGCCAGUCCAAACCAAGAGAAAAUUGGUUAAUGGGCUUGAAUUAGUUGUUGGUUGAUCAAGUAUUACUUCAAUUAGUUGUCGAUUGUUGAGUUUUAAGAUAAUGUGGCAAAGGUGUAUUGAUAGAGGAGCCUUGACACUUGCUUUUGCCAGAGCUCAAGUUCCUGAUUGAUAUAAGCCUCGUGACACUCUCCACAUGCUCAUAUUGAGCCUACGGUCCUUUGUAUAUAUGCUUCGGUACAGGAUGAUGCAGUGAGAAAAGUGAUGAGAAUAAUGCUUCUCUGAAAGCUCUGGAAGAUGCAAUUACCACAAGAAUUUAAAAUAUUGGAGACAAAAGUAAAUUGGAAACAGGGAUGGUAAAGGAAGCAUGUGACAUCGAGAAGCAUCAUAUGCAGUUAGCUGAAAGCUACGAUCUCAAAUCUAAGCUGCAGAUAGCUUGUCAGGAAUGAUCUUUCUUCUUUCUGUCUCAAAUCUAAGCUGCAGAUAGAUGUCGGUCCUUGUACAUGGGUAGGACAGGCUGAUAAGCUGCAUACAAUUGGUAAAUAGGGUUAUGGUACUAAUGGAAGAAGCAUAGCGUUUUGCUUGCAGGGAGCACAAGUCAACAACUACAUGCAGGCUGCCUUCAAAACAAGUUGUAAAUUUCUUAUAAUCCGGAUUUGAUUUUUAGGAUGGUUGGGUGCGUUGGAUGUUGCUACAUUGCCCCUUUAUCAUGUAAAAAUGUUGUAAUUUUUUUUUUUUUGACAAAUUUUGGGACUGUAUUUGUUAGGCAUAAGGUAUUUGAACUUGUUAAGGAGGAUAUCAAUGGACAUGGCUGUUUGGCAUUUUGCUUAAAGUUUAGCAAUCUGAGGGUCGGUCUUUAUGUUAUCUUGUGCA